AUGCUAACACAGCUGAGACUUUGUCCGAUUCCUGUCGCUCGAAGAAACCCACAGGCUUGCCCCUGUGUUCAGAGAUGGGGAAUACUGAAUGGAAGAAUCCAGUUCCCGCGCAGUCCUUCUAAAUCUUUGCCUCUGAUUGGGCUCAUUAAUAAACAUGCUGAUUUUGUUACAAGGAGAGACAUAUGGUACAAUCCGCUAACAGGAAGAAGUAUUUUGCAUUUUAUUGUAGAAAACAAACAUGCAAACAGGCUCUCACAGAUGGUUUCCUUAGCUUCUAGGAGGGGAAAAAACUUAAUAAUGUGUAAGUCUACUUUUUCCUCAACAACAACAACAACAAUAACUCCUUGCUCUUCUCUGGUUGGAAUUAGACUAAGUUUCGAAACAGGGCUGGAGACAGCUUGAAUUCAUUCUUUUCCUAUUUAAGUGCAGGCAGACAGAAGACAGACAGACACUGCACAAGCGCUCACAUUGUGUUCUCUCUCUCUCUCUCUCUCUCUCUCUCUCUCUCUCUCUCUCUCUCUCUCUCUCUCUCUCUCUCUCUCUCUGUACUUAACCAUACUCUUGCCCCAACCCCUUUCUUUUUUCUCUAUUCAGACAUACUUUCUCAGGGAGGCAGAGAUAACAGCACUCCGCCAUUGGAAAGGAACUAAGUUCUUUUACAAAUACAUUUUCUGGAUGAUUGAUGCUCACCUUUGAGGGUUAUCAAAACCUGGUUUGGACGAUGAGUGUUCUUUGUAUUAGAGGUGUUGCUGCUGCUACUACUACUAUUUUUGGAGAGAGAGAGAGAGAGAGAGAGAGAGAGAGAGAGAGAGAGCACACCAGACACACCGGAUGUCCUGCUCUAUGACAUUCUAUCUUAUCCCCC
rnacentral:lncRNA from 1 species